AAUGUACAUAGGCCAGGCGGGUGUAAUCCUGUUUUCUAUAACUGAAGAGAAAAGAAAAAAUGAAACAGCAAGUCAUCAAAGACUUUUUGGACUUUUCAAAA